rnacentral:rRNA from 1 species
CAGUCGCCGCGGUAACACGUAGGGUGCAAGCGUUAAUCGGAAUUACUGGGCGUAAAGCGUGCGCAGGCGGUUAUAUAAGACAGAUGUGAAAUCCCCGGGCUCAACCUGGGAACUGCAUUUGUGACUGUAUAGCUAGAGUACGGCAGAGGGGGAUGGAAUUCCGCGUGUAGCAGUGAAAUGCGUAGAUAUGCGGAGGAACACCGAUGGCGAAGGCAAUCCCAUGGGCCUGUACUGACGCUCAUGCACGAAAGCGUGGGGAGCAAACAGGAUUAGAUACCCGAGUAGUCCCUGUCUCUUAUAC